rnacentral:sRNA from 1 species
UUCUAGCCCUGAUGGUAGCGGCAUCCUUUAUGUUUUUUCUUUAAAAACAUAAAGAUACAGCGUACAGCAGGAAAUAGC